rnacentral:tRNA from 2 species
GUUCUCUUAGUUCAACUGGUUAAAACAGCAUUCUUCUAAAGUGCGAAUUUUGGUUCGAGUCCAAAAGAGAAUU